GCGGCGGUGGCGGCGGUACCCAUGGCCCUGCCGGCGGAGGCGGACCGGCUGGAUGGGGGCUGGCAGGAGGUCUACUCCGCGCUCCAGUGGAUCCAGUUCACCAUGGCCAUGCUCAGCGUUGUAGGUUCCAGCUCAAUUAUUGCCUACGCCGUCUUCCAAAACGCAGUGCGGUCCCCUGAGGUGCGUCCACUUUUCUACCUGAGCCUCUCAGAUCUGCUGCUGGGCAUGUGCUGGCUGGCUGGGGCCCUGCUCUACAGCUCACCCACCUCCCAGCAGGACCUCAUCUGCUACAACCUGCAGGCCACGGGACAGAUAUUCUACGUGGCCUCUUUUCUCUACACUGUCAACUACACCUGGCACCUGUACAUGGACCUCAAGGUGAAAUACAACCAGAACCUGUUCAGGGUGCCCCCCCAGGUUGUAGAUUAUGCAAGUUGUGUUGGCCGAAUAGCAACGAUCUUGUCAAGCCUGAUCCCUUUCCUCCUCAUGGUGCCGGUGUUCUGCCUGGGCAACAGCAGUAAUUGCUACCAGAACUUCAGCCAGAAGCACGGGUGUCUCCUGAUGCACACGGAGGUGGCCGAGCCCCCCAGCGCGCCGCAGGGCCUGAGCGGCUCCGUUUGCCGCGCCAUGCAUUUCUACGGCGUCGGCGUCUUCCUCGUCUCCUUCCUCAUCAGCUUCGUGGCCAUCCUGGUUAUCCUGAGUCAGGCCCGGGGGCUGUACAAGAGGUUUGUGAACUCCACAGGGUUCCUGGGGGAUCAACAGUGGGCCAUGAUUAAGAUGGUGGAACAAAGGGUGGUUUUCUACCCCAUUGCCUUCUUCUGCUGCUGGGCCCCAGCUGUGCUCCUUGGGGUGCUGAAACUGACUGCUUCAACAACCAGCAAAAUCUACAUGGCUCUGCUGAUCCUGCAGGCUCUCACCGCAGCUUCCCAGGGGCUGCUGAACUGCCUGGUGUACGGCUGGACCCAGCACGUGUUCCUGUCCCUCAAGCGCGGCUCCCGCCGGGAUGUGGACACGCAGACCCCGCUCCUGCGCUCCCAGAAGAAAUUCUACUCCAGCACAGCCCCCUCGGGCCCGCCCGACCCCGCGGGCUCCUCCUCCACCCUGCUCUGAUGCAGCCCGGCCUGCCCGGAGAGAGGCAGAGUCCUCCCAACUCCUCGUUCUGCAGAGCCGGGAUGGACCCGUCCCCGCGGGGCUGGCAGAGCCAGGCGCUCAGUGGACAUAGUUAUUUAUUUAAUGGAUUCUUUCAGCGUGGUAAAUCUUUAGUCCAGACUUUCUCCUCCUGGGAAUAUCCCUAGAAAUGCAGCAAAACCCAUGUAAAGGCUCAGAGACCUGGUGCAGCUCCAUGGAGGUUGGAGCUCCUAAGGAGCUUUUUUUACUUUGUUUUACUUUGUUUUAUUUCUCCAAGUCGUUGCCUUUACAAAUUAACAGAAAGCAAAAUGAGUAUUUUUCAAUCUCUGCCUUUUAAUUCACUCUGUGAGAAUUUGCACCACCCUAAGAAGCAAUUGCAGGGAGUGAAGAAUUGCAAAGGACAAAAGCUGCCUGGAAUUCUGCACAUUUCCCUUUCCUUCUCCCAGCCAACUCCUGCCCAGCCACAAUAACUCCCCAAAAUCAGCUGCUUCGACCCUGUGGAGCAUCUCUCAUGAACCAGCUUCACUUUUUGGGUCCAACCCAAAUUUUUCUCAUAGCAGGUUAGACAAGAGGAGGAAAUACUCCAGCUUUGUGUAAUUAACUUACACAACUGUGUAAACUCUGGGUAAGUCACACAAGGGCCCUGAAGGUUUGGUCAAUGACUUAUUUCCUCCUACAGAGUGAGACGGAGUGAAACAAUUCAAUUUUGCUGUUUUAAAGGAUAAAACCAAAGUUUUCAGCCAUCUUCUUCCCUCUGGUCCUUCAAAUCCUCCUCUAGUCCCAAAGUUUGGAUAUGGGUGACUCUGUGUUUCCCCAGCCCCACUUCAAAGGCAAAUAUUCCACAGGCAGGGUGGGAUUUGUGCCCUGGCACUGGCAGGGCAUGAAACAAAGCCAGCCUCAUCCCUGAGAGCCUCCUGCACCCUCCUGGGACUGACCCCGUUUGUGGAGCCAGUGCAAUUUGUUUAAAAGGGGAUUAAGGCUUCCUAAGUGAUGGAAGAUUACCCAGGGAGCAAUGAUUGGAUUGCUAAUGGAGCAUCAGGGCUGGCAGUGGGUGCUGACAGAGUCCCAGGGCUCCUCAGAAUGCAGAAAUCACUCAGAGUUUGUUUGAGGGGAGUUUUUUUGCUGGGUUGGCUGCUCCAAGUGCUCCCAGGAAAUAAAUUGUUCCCUCAGUCCCUUUCCCAGUCUGGAGGCUCUGAGGGUCACUCACCACCCAACCCACUCUGAACUCCCCCAAGGCACCAAGCAGGGGCAAAUUCUCUGACAAGGAAGGAGCCUGAGCCCUCACACCUGCCCCAGCUCGUGUCCUGAAAUGCUCCUGGCUGUGUCUGGUUCCUGUCACCUCGAGGAUAACAAAAAUAUUUCCAGAGGCAGGAAGGGCCCAAAUGCCACCCUGAGGCUCUUUCCUUAAAGAAAGAGAUGGGAGGGAAGCCCUCCCUGUGCCUGGAACAGCUCAGGGCCAUCAGCAGCACAGCAGAUCCAUUUCUGAGCACCCAGUGUCCCCCAGUCCCAGCAGGGCUCCCACCUCAAGGAUCUGGCUCCUAUUCCCAGUGUCCCAAAGACAGAAGGACUCAUCCCUCCCUUCCCUGAGUGCCCAGUCCAGCCCCCAGGGGUUCACUGGGAGCACUGGGCAGGUGCUGCUGCCAUCUGAUGCAAAGCUGGGCUAAAAAAAGGCAAUUUUGGGUUGUGCUGCCAAGCAGAGCCCAGGAUUGCCCAGGGAUUUACCCAGCCUCAAAUCCUCAUUCAAGUGUUUGUUCCCAUGGAUCAGGGAGGUGGGAUGGGGGUGAGGGUGGUGGAAUAAUGGAAUCAUGGAAUCUCUAAGGCUGGAAAAGCCCUCUAAGAUAAUAAAAUCCAAAAAUUAACCCAGCACCACUAACCACACCCCAAAGUGCUGCACCCACACCUUCUGGAAACUUCCAGGGAAAAGCAGAAUCCUGCUGCUCUUCCCUCCUGCUCCUUCCUUCUUCUCUCUGCAGGGAUUUGGGAACCAAACAAAACCAGGCAGGAACUUUUGAGUUUAGUAAAAUCAUUUAUAUACAGGAUGGGUAAUAUUUACAAUGUAAUACUGAUCCAAAAGGAACUAACAGGGAACACUGAGAGGAGAAGUGAGAACAUUUUAACACACAGGAGUUAAACAUGGGCACAGACUCGAGUUUCCAAAAGAAAAUCCAGAAGUAAUGACAGCAAAAGUUUGACAUGUUGCUAUUUCCAAUCAAAAUCUCUUUCACUAAUCAGGUUCUCCUAAUUUUAAUAGAUAUAGAAAAGCUUCAAAAAAUCAAAUCACAGGAGAAGCCAGUUAUACAGAAAAUUUUGAAAAGGUCAAAUGAUUUCAGAUAUUUUUCUUCACUUAAAUAAAAUUCUAAAAAAAACCCAAAACCCAACAACCUCCAGAGCUUUCACACAUAUUUUUAGUGUUUGUACAAAGAAAUUCUUCUUUGAUCCCACACUUCCAGCUCGAGAUAUUUACAAUAUUCACAGUCUGCUACAAAGGAUCAGUAGAUUUAUUACCAAGUCAAGCCUCAGAGAAUCAAGACAAGGUGUCUUGCACUUGCUUCAACUGAAAAAUCAACUAAACCCAGGAAGGAGAAAAUCAAAUGCUACUUUCAAACACAUAAAUGAAUCCAUUAAAGUUAUUGAACUUUGAAAUGUAAAACAGAACUUUUCAAAGAGUAAAAAAAUCAACUUUCUCAUAGAAACAAAACCAUUUGACCUUGAGUCUUCAAAUUGUGUUUUCUUAAUCUGUCCCUCCUCCCUCUGCUUCAAAUCAGGCUCUUAUUAUUUAUCACAGACAAGAAAAUGGAGAUUAAAUCCAUCAAAAGCAACUUGUGGCAAAAGCCCUUGGAAAUUUGUACAGAUGUUCCCACCUCAGGAUCAGCAGCACUUGAGGGAUGAAGAACAGGAGGAAUCCUCUAACACACAUCAGAUCCCACCUUCCUCUCUGACUGCACUUCCAAUAAAUUCUGACUCCCAAAAUCUGCCUGAGGAUUUUCCUGCUGGGAGGGCAGAGUCACAAAGUGCUUUUGGAGGGGAUUUUUUGCUCUGCCAUUCAAACAAAGGUGAUUUCCUUGUUUCCAUCUCUAUCUGCCACACUUGAAAGUUUCAAUUCCUCAGAAAAAAACAUGGAUUUCAAGUUCAAAAUGAAACUAUUUCAAGACAUGACCUAGAAUUAGAGCAAGGACAGAAAUGCACAUAACAGGGCUUGAUGGUACAGCCAAAAAAAGUGACAAAAACUCUCAAUUUUUGCUACUUCUCUUCAGUUUUCAUCAAGAGGUCAGUGCACAAAUAUUCCAGGUAAUGUCAGAGGUGUUUACAAACACUCCCUGCUCCCAUCAGAGCAUGGAUAAGCAGGGACUGUUCUUACCCUGCAUUGGAAAAAACUGUCCACAGGAUUAGGGAAAGCUGACAGAGAACAGGAAACAAAACAUCUCCUUCAUGUAGAAAAAACAAGUCACUGUUUAGAAAAUUGUAUAGAAAGAGUCAGACACUGCUUUGCCAUCCAGCUAAAGCUGCAAGGAAAUUUUGGUAUAGAAAAGAGACAAAAAAAAAAAAAAAAAACAACAA